rnacentral:rRNA from 1 species
CAGCAGCCGCGUAAUACGUAGGUGGCAAGCGUUGUCCGGAAUUAUUGGGCGUAAAGGGCUCGCAGGCGGUUUCUUAAGUCUGAUGUGAAAGCCCCCGGCUCAACCGGGGAGGGUCAUUGGAAACUGGGAAACUUGAGUGCAGAAGAGGAGAGUGGAAUUCCGCGUGUAGCGGUGAAAUGCGUAGAGAUGUGGAGGAACACCAGUGGCGAAGGCGACUCUCUGGUCUGUAACUGACGCUGAGGAGCGAAAGCGUGGGGAGCGAACAGGAUUAGAUACCCCAGUAGUCCCUGUCUCUUAUACA